AACGAACGCUGGCGGCAGGCCUAACACAUGCAAGUCGAGCGAAGCCUUCGGGCUUAGCGGCGGACGGGUGAGUAAUGCUUAGGAAUCUGCCUAUUAGUGGGGGACAACAUUCCGAAAGGAAUGCUAAUACCGCAUACGUCCUACGGGAGAAAGCAGGGGAUCUUCGGACCUUGCGCUAAUAGAUGAGCCUAAGUCGGAUUAGCUAGUUGGUGGGGUAAAGGCCUACCAAGGCGACGAUCUGUAGCGGGUCUGAGAGGAUGAUCCGCCACACUGGGACUGGGACACGGCCCAGACUCCUACGGGAGGCAGCAGUGGGGAAUAUUGGACAAUGGGGGGAACCCUGAUCCAGCCAUGCCGCGUGUGUGAAGAAGGCCUUUUGGUUGUAAAGCACUUUAAGCGAGGAGGAGGCUUACUUAGUUAAUACCUGAGAUAAGUGGACGUUACUCGCAGAAUAAGCACCGGCUAACUCUGUGCCAGCCGCCGCCGUAAGAC
rnacentral:rRNA from 1 species